rnacentral:lncRNA from 1 species
CAACAUGCAUUCAUUCAUUAGCAUUCAUUAAUAUAUCAUCAUAGCAUCAUGCAAAGGAAGUGUUUUAUGAUGCUAUAAAUUGUUAUGUCUGUCUUUAUUCCAAAUAUGAGCAUCAUUCUGAAGGAUUUAAAUGAAGGCAUUUUUAUUGCUAUUCCAAUAAGCUUCACCCCUAGAGCAAUCUUGAACCCAAGUAGCCUAUGUUAUUUGCAUGCCCUCAGUAAAUCUCUAAACCAAUUUUUGUCUCAAGGAGUCAAACAGUAUGAAAACAUUUGUGGGACAGACAGAUAUUGUAUUUUAUAUAUAUAUAUAAAUUUAUUAUAAUAAAUAUGUAUUUCUAUACAUGUAUUACUUAAUAUUUCAGUGAUUUAAAUCCAGAAGUACCUUUACCAGAAUCAUCAUCACCAUCACUCUCCCUGGCAUGAAAAAAAGGAAAUUAUCUUCCUCCAGUGGUGAUUUGUAAUCGCUAAUUGAACUUUUAAAAGAAGAUGACAAAAAUAGAGAAAGAAGACAUAAAGAAAAAAUGCUAAACUUAACUGCUAAAAGAAUUACUAAACUUAAAUAAUACGAAUGAAAAUGUUUCUUUAUACAUGUUAAGCUUAUUUAAGAUAUUUUAAUAAAUAAAAUUUAGAAAUCUUACCGGUU